GACAGAGGGGGCGAGCGUUGUCCGAAGUUACUGGGCGUAAAGCGCGCGUAGGCGGCCUCUUAAGUUGGGUGUGAAAUCCUGCGGCCCAACCGCAGAACUGCAUCCAAAACUGGGAGGCUUGAGGACGGAAGAGGGCAGUGGAAUUCCUGGUGUAGCGGUGAAAUGCGUAGAUAUCAGGAGGAACACCCGUGGCGAAGGCGGCUGCCUGGUCCGUAUCUGACGCUGAGGUGCGACAGCCAGGGGAGCUAACGGG
rnacentral:rRNA from 1 species